AACGAACGCUGGCGGCAGGCCUAACACAUGCAAGUCGAGCGAGACCUUCGGGUCUAGCGGCGGACGGGUUAGUAACGCGUGGGAACGUACCCUUCUCUAAGGAAUAGCCACUGGAAACGGUGAGUAAUACCUUAUACGCCCUUCGGGGGAAAGAUUUAUCGGAGAAGGAUCGGCCCGCGUAAGAUUAGAUAGUUGGUGGGGUAAUGGCCUACCAAGUCUACGAUCUUUAGCUGGUUUUAGAGGAUGAUCAGCAACACUGGGACUGAGACACGGCCCAGACUCCUACGGGAGGCAGCAGUGGGGAAUCUUAGACAAUGGGCGCAAGCCUGAUCUAGCCAUGCCGCGUGUGUGACGAAGGCCUUAGGGUCGUAAAGCACUUUCGCCUGUGAUGAUAAUGACAGUAGCAGGUAAAGAAACCCCGGCUAACUCCGUGCCAGCAGCCGCGGUAAUACGGAGGGGGUUAGCGUUGUUCGGAAUUACUGGGCGUAAAGCGCACGUAGGCGGAUUGGAAAGUAUGGGGUGAAAUCCCAGGGCUCAACCCUGGAACUGCCUCAUAAACUUCCAGUCUAGAGUUCGAGAGAGGUGAGUGGAAUUCCGAGUGUAGAGGUGAAAUUCGUAGAUAUUCGGAGGAACACCAGUGGCGAAGGCGGCUCACUGGCUCGAUACUGACGCUG
rnacentral:rRNA from 1 species